CUUAGUACGGCGAGUGAGCGGCAAAAGCUCAAAUUUGAAAUCUGGCACCUUCGGUGUCCGAGUUGUAAUUUGAAGAAGGUAACUUUGGAGUUGGCUCUUGUCUAUGUUCCUUGGAACAGGACGUCACAGAGGGUGAGAAUCCCGUGCGAUGAGAUGCCCAAUUCUAUGUAAAGUGCUUUCGAAGAGUCGAGUUGUUUGGGAAUGCAGCUCUAAGUGGGUGGUAAAUUCCAUCUAAAGCUAAAUAUUGGCGAGAGACCGAUAGCGAACAAGUACAGUGAUGGAAAGAUGAAAAGAACUUUGAAAAGAGAGUGAAAAAGUACGUGAAAUUGUUGAAAGGGAAGGGCUUGAGAUCAGACUUGGUAUUUUGCGAUCCUUUCCUUCUUGGUUGGGUUCCUCGCAGCUUACUGGGCCAGCAUCGGUUUGGAUGGUAGGAUAAUGACUAAGGAAUGUGGCUCUACUUCGGUGGAGUGUUAUAGCCUUGGUUGAUACUGCCUGUCUAGACCGAGGACUGCGUCUUUUGACUAGGAUGUUGGCAUAAUGAUCUUAAGCCACCCGUCUUGAAACACGGACCA
rnacentral:rRNA from 1 species